UACAGAGGUCUCAAGCGUUGUUCGGAUUCAUUGGGCGUAAAGGGUGCGUAGGCGGCGUGAUAAGUCGGGUGUGAAAUCUCGGAGCUUAACUCCGAAACUGCAUUCGAUACUGCCGUGCUUGAGGACUGGAGAGGAGACUGGAAUUUACGGUGUAGCGGUGAAAUGCGUAGAUAUCGUAAGGAAGACCAGUGGCGAAGGCGGGUCUCUGGACAGUUCCUGACGCUGAGGCACGAAGGCCAGGGGAGCAAACGGG
rnacentral:rRNA from 1 species